rnacentral:rRNA from 1 species
GUACACUCCUGCGGGAGGCAGCAGUGGGGAAUAUUGGACAAUGGGCGCAAGCCUGAUCCAGCCAUGCCGCGUGAGUGAUGAAGGCCCUAGGGUUGUAAAGCUCUUUCACCGGUGAAGAUAAUGACGGUAACCGGAGAAGAAGCCCCGGCUAACUUCGUGCCAGCAGCCGCGGUAAUACGAAGGGGGCUAGCGUUGUCCGGAUUUACUGGGCGUAAAGCGCACGUAGGCGGACUAUUAAGUCAGGGGUGAAAUCCUGGGGCUCAACCCCGGAACUGCCUUUGAUACUGGUAGUCUUGAGUUCGAGAGAGGUGAGUGGAAUUCCGAGUGUAGAGGUGAAAUUCGUAGAUAUUCGGAGGAACACCAGUGGCGAAGGCGGCUCACUGGCUCGAUACUGACGCUGAGGUGCGAAAGCGUGGGGAGCAAACAGGAUUAGAAACCCCGGUAGUCCCAUG